rnacentral:rRNA from 1 species
AGCGAACGCUGGCGGCAGGCCUAACACAUGCAAGUCGAACGAACUCUUCGGAGUUAGUGGCGGACGGGUGAGUAACACGUGGGAACGUGCCUUUUGGUUCGGAAUAACUCAGGGAAACUUGUGCUAAUACCGAAUGUGCCCUUCGGGGGAAAGAUUUAUCGCCAUUAGAGCGGCCCGCGUCUGAUUAGCUAGUUGGUGAGGUAACGGCUCACCAAGGGGACGAUCAGUAGCUGGUCUGAGAGGAUGACCAGCCACACUGGGACUGAGACACGGCCCAGACUCCUACGGGAGGCAGCAGUGGGGAAUCUUGCGCAAUGGGCGAAAGCCUGACGCAGCCAUGCCGCGUGAAUGAUGAAGGUCUUAGGAUUGUAAAAUUCUUUCACCGGGGACGAUAAUGACGGUACCCGGAGAAGAAGCCCCGGCUAACUUCGUG